AUUUGGAGCAUAGUUAAUCGCGUAAAAGACACUUUGACCACACAUACUUUCAAAGGGAACCACUAAAAGAAGUAAAUGCCUCUAGCUCCAGUGAGUCUCAGAAUGUGCCUGGCCCAUUGCAAAUUCCACCGCCUAAACAGGACUUAGUUAAUCCUGUAAUCAUUGAACCAGUGAUGAAUGAAGCAUUUCAAGCCUCUGGCUUGGAUACAGUCAGAAUUGCUAAGGAUCCGAAACCUAUGAGAAGACGUUUAAUCACGAAAGUAAAAGAUUUGUCACCAACAUGCAAAAGUAUUUAUAAAGAAUACAAAAAGUCUAAACAGCAGGCCGAUUUUCAUCGAAGAGUU